rnacentral:rRNA from 1 species
UACGUAGGGUGCAAGCGUUUAAUCGGAAUUACUGGGCGUAAAGCGUGCGCAGGCGGUUUUGUAAGUCUGACGUGAAAUCCCCGGGCUCAACCUGGGAAUUGCGUUGGAGACUGCAAGGCUAGAAUCUGGCAGAGGGGGGGUAGAAUUCCACGUGUAGCAGUGAAAUGCGUAGAUAUGUGGAGGAACACCGAUGGCGAAGGCAGCCCCCUGGGUCAAGAUUGACGCUCAUGCACGAAAGGCGUGGGGAGCAA